UGCAUCGGCCAGGAAUCGAACCCGGGCCGCCCGCGUGGCAGGCGAGCAUUCUACCACUAAACCACCGAUGC
rnacentral:tRNA from 1 species